rnacentral:tRNA from 1 species
GAGGGGUUUACAAGACCUGCUA